rnacentral:rRNA from 1 species
UGCAAACCCGCGAGGGGGAGCCAAUCUCACAAAACGCAUCGUAGUCCGGAUCGCAGUCUGCAACUCGACUGCGUGAAGUCGGAAUCGCUAGUAAUCGUGAAUCAGAAUGUCACGGUGAAUACGUUCCCGGGCCUUGUACACACCGCCCGUCACACCAUGGGAGUGGAUUGCACCAGAAGUGGUUAGUCUAACCUUCGGGAGGACGAUCACCACGGUGUGGUUCAUGACUGGGGUGAAGUCGUAACAAGGUAGCCGUAGGGGAACCUGUGGAUGGAUCACCUCCU